rnacentral:tRNA from 1 species
UAUUUGAACUGGUGACACGAUCGAAAUCGGUAGACGCUACGGACUUAAAAUCCGUUGGCUUUAUUGACCGUGAGGGUUCAAGUCCCUCUACCCCCA